rnacentral:rRNA from 3 species
AUAAAUCAAAACUUUCAACAACGGAUCUCUUGGUUCUGGCAUCGAUGAAGAACGCAGCAAAAUGCGAUAAGUAAUGUGAAUUGCAGAAUUCAGUGAAUCAUCGAAUCUUUGAACGCACAUUGCGCCCGCUGGUAUUCCGGCGGGCAU